UACGUAGGGUGCGAGCGUUAAUCGGAAUUACUGGGCGUAAAGCGUGCGCAGGCGGUUUUGUAAGUCAGAUGUGAAAGCCCCGGGCUCAACCUGGGAACUGCGUUUGGUACUGGCAAGCUAGAGUACGGCAGAGGGGGGUGGAAUUCCACGUGUAGCAGUGAAAUGCGUAGAGAUGUGGAGGAACACCGAUGGCGAAGGCAGCCCCCUGGGCCGAUACUGACGCUCAGGCACGAAAGCGUGGGGAGCAAACAGG
rnacentral:rRNA from 1 species